GUUUAUGGAACCAAAUCCGAUCGACGUAAGCUCUGUAUUCUUCCGAAUGACCCACUCCGUCAAUUCGCGUGUUGAAAUACAUGCUAUCUCUUUCACUCCUACGGUUUGUUUUGAUGCUGUCUCACCAUUCACUCGAUCGCUCACGAGCGCUGCGUGUUCGUACACGGCCCCGUGCGCGUGUGUUUGUGUAAGCACACGGCGAUCGAAAGAGGAAGGUGAAAAUUUCUGCUAAGUCUUGGAUCCAACAUGGCGUCACUUGAAAACGACGCGCAAGAGGCAGGGUGUGCUGCGCUCGUGCAUCCGAAAAUUUUGAAGAAAAAAGUUAGUUUUGCUGUGAAUUUGUAUCAUUCGUCUGUGUUACGGAGCAUCUAAACCCGUGGACAUUGUUUGUGGGCAUGUGCGACAACGAAAAAUGCAUCCUGGCAGCAUCCUGGCUUCAAUCAGCGUCGGACAGGCAUCGAAGCAGAGGAGUGUUGUGCGAAGUGCUGUGUUUUGUGAUGUAUUUUGCGAAUAGGUAGAGUGUUUUCGAUCGGUGAAAAGUGUUAUAAAUAAAAUGGGUGAAAUUGAAA